rnacentral:lncRNA from 10 species
AGCAACCUGCUCGGGACCCCUCUCUGUGACUGUGAGCUGUUCUGUUCUUUUGCCUAUUAAACUCCUGCUCCAAACUCACUCGAUGUGUGUGUGCAUGUCCUUGACCUCAAUAUCUGGUCGUGUGACCAAGAACCUCAGUAUUCACCCCAGACAACAAGGCUGCUUCAUUUUGAGGGCUCGUCUGGGAUUUGAAGGUGACUUCAUCAGAAUGCUUUGCUGCUAAAGGGAUCUGCAGUCCAGCUGAAAACCUGCCCUUGCCUGAGCCCAGCCACUUUCUCCCAGAGAAAACUGGAGAACCUAAACAUGAUUGUGAACAGAAACCAUCAAGCUUCAGAUGGUGCUGAAAAUGGAGCCGAAAAUGAAACUGCCCUCCUACGAGGGACCCUUAAAUCAACCCCAGGAGGAGCCCUAGCUGCUGUUCCCCACACAACGCCACUCUCCAGCAGGAAGUAGCCAGAAGAAAUCGUCACCCAGUUUCCCCUAGCAGCAGUUAUGGAUUUCAUUCCUGAGGGGGGAAAUAUGUUAUAGGAGGCAGAAAGAAAUGAUUUAGGCGCAGUAAGAUUGAGGAGCUAAAAACAGACUUGGGUGGAUGUCUGCAGCUGCAAGAAGAUGUGUGGGAACAGACACAGAAACUCUCCCUCCCAGAUAAGCAAGACAAAGAAACACAGAAUAAGAGUCCAUCUAUGUGGUCAGAGAAUGGGAUAAGAGCUGAUUUAAAAAAACUCUGCUCUAUAUAGAAGGCACACCUGGUCCCAACCAAACCACUGGACCCUAGGAGGAUAAGACCUCCUCUGCUCAUGAGCCCCCUCCUCAGUAGCCCAUUUAUAAAAACCCUGACAAUUUUACUACCACUUGGCAACCCGCUCGGGACCCCUCUCUGUGAUGGAGAGCUGUUCUUUUCUUUUGCCUAUUAAACUCCUGCUCCAAAC